rnacentral:rRNA from 1 species
CUAUGGCUCAGGAUGAACGCUAGCGACAGGCUUAACACAUGCAAGUCGAGGGGCAGCACGGAAGUAGCAAUACUUUGGUGGCGACCGGCGCACGGGUGAGUAACGCGUAUGCAACCUACCUAUCAGAGGGGAAUAACCCGGCGAAAGUCGGACUAAUACCGCAUAAAACAGGGGCACCGCAUGGUGAUAUUUGUUAAAGAAAUUCGCUGAUAGAUGGGCAUGCGUUCCAUUAGGUAGUUGGUGAGGUAACGGCUCACCAAGCCGACGAUGGAUAGGGGAACUGAGAGGUUGGUCCCCCACACUGGUACUGAGACACGGACCAGACUCCUACGGGAGGCAGCAGUGAGGAAUAUUGGUCAAUGGGCGGGAGCCUGAACCAGCCAAGUCCGCGUGAAGGAAGAAGGAUCUAUGGUUCGUAAACUUCUUUUGCAGGGGAAUAAAGUGCAGGACGUGUCCUGUUUUGUAUGUACCCUGAGAAUAAGGGUCGACUAACUCCGUGCCAGCCGCGGC